rnacentral:rRNA from 1 species
UUUUUAAUUAAAAUAAUAAUAUAAAUAAUUUGUUUAAUUUUAGUAAUUAAAAAGAAAAAAUUUGAUAGAAUUUAUAGAAAAUUAGUAAAGUAAUUGAAUUUUUAAUAGAAUAUGAAUUAAAUAAAAAAUUUAUUUAAGUAAAUUUAAUUUAUUGUAUCUUGUGUAUCAGAGUUUAAAAAAAAAUUAUAAGAGAAAAGUUUCUCGAAAAAAAAUAAGAGAUAAAAAUUAAAUUUUUAUUAAUGUUGAAAAAUUAUAAAAAAUUAAUUUUUAGAGAUAAAAAGUUAUUCGAUUUUUUUUAUAUCUAGUUUUUAAAGAAAUAAAUUUAAUUUAAUUUUUAUUUGGAAUAUAUUUUAUUAAUUGAAGUAAUAUUUAUAAAUAAAAUAUUUAAGAUUAGAUAAUUAUAAAUAAAAUUAAGUAAAUAUAGGGUUAAGCUUGUAUUUAAAAUUWUAAAWUUWWAAWUUUUUUUUAAAUUUAGAGUUUUUAAUAUAAUAUUUAUUUUAUAAAUUUAAAUUGGAUUUAAUUUAUGAGAUUAAUAAUUUAUUUAAAAAUUAAUAUUAAUUUAAUUUAUUAAGUUUAAAUGUUAAAAUUAGUAUAAUAAAUUUUUAGUUAAAAAUAAUUAAGUAAGUUUAAAUUAAUGAAUUAGGCAAAAUUUAAUUAUAAAUUAAAUUAUUUCACUUGUUUAACAAAAACAUGUCUUUUAGAAAAAUUAAAUUUAAAGUCUGAUCUGCCCACUGAAUUUUAAAUUUUAAAGGGCUGCAGAAUUUUAACUGUACAAAGGUAGCAUAAUAAAUUGUUUUUUAAUUGAAAACUAGAAUGAAGGAUUUAAUGAAAAUAAUACUGUAUAAAUUUAAUAAAUGGAAUUUAUUUUUUUUGUAAAAAAACAAAAAUUAUUUAAAAAGACGAGAAGACCCUUUAGAUUUUAAUUAAUAAAAAAAUUUAAAUGGUAUUUUAAUGUAUUAUUUAAUAAUUUAUAAUUUUUUUAUUAAAUUGGUUGGGGUGAUUGUUAAAUUUAAUUAACUUUAUUUAAAUUAAGUAUAAGAUUUUGAUUAGAAAAUUUAUAUUAUAGGAAUGAUUUAGUUUUAUCGAUUAUAUGAUUUAAUUACCUAAGGGAUAACAGCGUUAUUUAAGUUUUUAGUUCUUAUAAAAAUUUAAGUUUGCGACCUCGAUGUUGGAUUAAGAUUAUUUUUAAUUGCAGAAAAUUUAUAUUUUAGUCUGUUCGACUAUUAAAAUCUUACAUGAUCUGAGUUCAAACCGGCGUGAGCCAGGUUGGUUUCUAUCUUUUAAAUUUAAUUAUUAUUUUAGUACGAAAGGAUUAAGUAAUAAAAAUAAAAAAUUUUUAAAGUUWAARAWUWUAAAUNWUAAAUAUUUUAAAUAAAGG